GUUGGAAGACACUCAGUUUUUACUUUUAACUCCAGAGGAGCAAAUAAAAAAUGACCUGAGUGAAGAUUGUGGAGAGUCUGGAGGCAGAGAUAUGGCUUAGAGAGAGAGAGAGAGAGAGAGAGAGAGAGAGAGAGAAAUAGAGGAAGGCCGAGGGGAAAAACACACCGUGACUGUGGAGCGGAGAAGUGUGUCGCCGUGGUGACAGCAUGAUUGACGCGAGACGACAGGUGUCAGGGCACUGACACCUCACCUGGAGCGGCCUGCCGGACUAGACAGAUUACCAGCCAAAGUGAAAGCUCCAAAGGAGCAUGAGGAACUUCAAAACUAUUGUCCGAGCUUCUGACCCUUUCUCCUUGGUGGGCAUGGUGGUGGAGAGGGCGGUUCAAGUGGUCAGUACAAACAAGUUUUGGGCAUCGGGACACUGGCAUUACUGCUACUGACUGCUGAUCGGUUGUUGAGCACAGCUGUUCAUGCUUACUGACGUCAUGGACAUUCAUGAAGCGCCCCCUUUUGUACGUGAAGCUGCCCUCGUGUGGAAUAAUGGACCCCCGCAUAAUGCAACAAAACACAGGGAAAUAAACAAAAUGGUCACAGACAGAAAAGCUAGUACGAACGGGGCUCGUAACAGUGUUUAUAGAGAUGGGAACAAAUCACUGACACUCAAGUCCUGACUCUUAACUGGGAGCAUUCUUCACCAAAUGUAAUGCCAGGACUGAACACUAAGAAUGAUGGUCUGUUUAAUGACCAAUUAAACCUUCAACAUUCAGCAAGAAAUUUUUCCAUGGAUCACUGGCAGUAAGCAUUUACUUAAGAAUAAAUGAAGUAAGAAUUUGGAUGAAAAACCACUCAAACCAAAUCAACUGUACUAAACAAGGUUUACAGAAAAGUGAUGCUGAAUUUUGCACUUUUUUUAGUGCCUUUUGAGUCUUUUUACAUCAGGCAUGUCAAACUGGGGGCCUUCUGGACUGUGGAGAUGAGCGUUUACCCUCAUCUAACACUCUGAAUUCAGUUCAUGAAGGCCUUGUUAAUUAU